GAACCGUACAAACGUUAUUCGGAAUUACUGGGCUUAAAGGGUGCGUAGGCGGCUUGGCAAGUUGGGUGUGAAAUCCCUCGGCUCAACCGAGGAACGGCGCCCAAAACUGCCAGACUUGAGGGAGACAGAGGUGAGUGGAACUUAGGGUGGAGCGGUGAAAUGCGUUGAUAUCCUAAGGAACACCAGUGGCGAAAGCGACUCACUGGGUCUCUUCUGACGCUGAGGCACGAAAGCUAGGGUAGCGAACGGGAUUAGAUACCCCGGGUAGUCCUAGCUGUAAACGAUGAGCACUGGGUCGGAGAGCCCCUCCAUAGCUUUCCGGCCGAAGCGAAAGUGUUAAGUGCUCCGCCUGGGGAGUAUGGUCGCAAGGCUG
rnacentral:rRNA from 1 species